rnacentral:lncRNA from 1 species
GUUUGAGCGACUAAUAAGCUGGACUCUCUCCAUCCUCAAAAUUUUCCUUCACGUUCUCGCUUCCAAGCCGAGAUUCCAAGACCCAUCUUCGUCUCUGCCCGUGUUUCUUCCAUUUUGAUUGAGAACCCAAUUGCUACUUGCGCGCCAUUUUUACUUCAUGAACAAACACCAGUUCUGCAACGCAUCAGGAUUUUCAAAAAUGAGAAUUUGAAAUUGUUUUCAUCUACCUGUUUUCUACCCACAUCAGUUACACUACACGUUAUUCUGCCAUUUUCAACUGGAGUUUCAGUCAUGGCUGCCGGGUACUUUUUUAUUCCUUCUCCAUUUCUCUUCAUUUGUUUCGUCGUCCAGGUGUUCGUUAAUUAUUUGUUCAGGUUUGGUUUCAGAAGAAAAUUGCAAGAAGAUUUUUCGUAUUUAUUUACAGUGUCCUUCUGUAUGGUGGUCUUGGUUUCACGCGGGCAUUGAGUUGGUUUAUGUAUAUGUUAAAUCUGUAUACGCUGACUGCUCCUUCUUUUCUGGGCUCUGGAGGAUCCUGUGCUUGUUUUUCCAUCCGAAUUGAUGUUCUACUUUUCAUGAUGUUUUUACUGCUGAAAUGUCCUGUUGUGAUAUUCUCUUUUAGGGCCUUUUGGGAUUUUAAUAUGAUACUUACAAUGAUGACUUUAUAUGACAUAUAAAUUUAUUUUGAGGUGAUUUAAUGAAUCUGAUAGCUAAAUAAACUACCAUUCAUCUCAUCCUUAGUUCAUAUUGAUUUUCUGGGUAACUUCUUUUUGCAUAUUCCUUUGUAACUUAAACAAAGAGCUCAAUAGCUUUCCAACUUUAUAUACAAAUAAUUUUUAAUUGUUUGGAUCUGCAAUUUUUACCUGUAAGGCGUUGAGAGAACAUGCUUUUUAAUUACUUUUUACUUAAUCCUUAUUAACCUUCUAUGUUAGGAUCAAAUCAAUUUUUAUAAAAACUACUGGAGUUAAUAGUAGUGUUUAUUACAGUGAGGUUGUUGUUUCCUCCUGGUGUAGUAUUGUGGCAAUUGUUCUUAUACUGGAUUUUUUAGAGAGAGUGUCUGUGUGUGUGUGAGAGAGAGAGAGAGAGUAAUAAAUUUCAUCAACUAUCUUUUUAUAUGAUAUAGGAGGUCAUAAGAUUUUCGUAAUGGCCACCUUCUUAAUCAACUUGACAAAAAAUUUUGUUUAUUAAUGAAGUAGCAUAUGGAGGCCACUGAUUCUCUUUAGUCCUGAUAAAACACAAGGAGAUGGUGAAACUCAAAGCUCCCCUAACUUUAUUAUGUUCUUCUUGCCUUUAUCCAUCUCAGUUGAUGCUACAAAACAUAAAAGGAAAAUAACAAUGUCAAUCAGUCUCCAAUAUUUUUGAAGCAUGUGUGUAUCUGUGUGCACGUGUAGAGGUGUAUAAAUAAGUAGUUGAACUCACUUUUGACAGUUGGUGUUCUUUGAGAUAGGAAUAUUCAUUUGAACACCGCACUUUGUAGGGAGAGAAGAGGCUGCAUCUUCCUUGAUAUUGGGAUAGCGAGCAGCAGCCUCCUUAACACAGUUGCAGGCAGCUUGGCGGUCAGCAGUGGUAGGCGUGAUGGCCUUGAGAUUUUUGACACCAUCACAACAUGCUGCAGCAGGUGUACCUCCUGCUGUUAGAUAGGGAAUGCAUGCAGCCAAUGAUGCAUUGACUUGGGCACAAGUCACAGCCCCCUCUCCUGGCUUAACCAAAAGCUGAGCCAUCACUAUCACUACCAACAUUGAUACCAUUGCACCCUUCAUUUUUUUUUGGUACUUUACUUUGAACUGGGAGCCACUGGUCACUACUAGCUGCCUCUUUUAGUUUAGUUGUGUUUUGAAGUGAAAUGGCAGGGUGUGUGUGUAUAUAUAAGCAUGUCAGAGCUGAAGAAAGUUAGAAGUUGUGGGUCAAGCCAUAACAAUAGCGGUUAUUCAGUUUUGUCAUCUUCAUUGAGUUGCAACAUCUCUUGGUUAGCUAAAGCAGCCUAAAAUAGUAAAUGGGGAUAAGCUUCUGAAUCAUAUUUUCUUUCUCUUUAUGCACUUUUCUUUUGAUCUUACCUGGCUUGGCUAAAGGCUUAUACCAUAAUUGCUGCGUGCAUUAUAAUUUAUUUUGCAGCAACUAGGAAUGCAGUUCAAGGUAUUGAAGGUGCAUAGAACAAAAGAUAAUCACGUUUUAGAUAUUAAGUAAAUUACUAACAGUUCAUUUGUCAUAUCCACUAGUAGUAUAGUCUGCAAGCUUUUUUUUUUUUUUUUUUUUUUCAAAUUGAGUACAUGCUUUGUAUGCAACUUAAUUGAGCUGUGUGGUCAACCUUUUGAAAAACUUAAUAAUUGUAAAGGAUGAUUAAUAAAAUUUUGACAGCUUAAAGGUUCAAUAGUGAACAAAAGAAAUNNNNNNNNNNNNNNNNNNNNNNNNNNNNNNNNNNNNNNNNNCAAAAUAAAAUUGACAGAUUUGUGUGUUUUGCAGGAACUUAGUUGGUGUUAAAAAAUAAUAAUAGUAAUAACAAUGUGAAGUACAUCCUGAACUAUUGUAAGCUUCUCUUUUAGGACCUUUUAGGCUUCUGAGGUAAUGUUUAUAAUGAUGGCAUUGGAAAAAAUAUUAGACAGAUUACUUUCCUGAGUUAAUAUACUGAAUCUAACAGUCAAGGAUCGGAAAAUUCAUCUCAUGCUUGAUGCAUAUCAAUUUGGUGAGUGACUUGUUAUUACCUAACCCUCUAUGACAUGAAGAAAGAGGUUAUCAACAACCUCAUUUGCAAUAACGGCGACAUCUAUAAUUGGUCUGCCUCUAAAGCAUGCUAACAUUCACCCACCAUCUUAACCACAACUCUGGCCAAUCUUCUUGUUACGACCUUUGCUAUAAUUCUGCAAACUCCAACCGCCAAAUUGAUUGAUCUAAAAUCUUUAAUGCUGACCACCCCUGCAAGUGGAAUCAAGGCACCUCAUGAAGGAUCCAGUUUGAUAAAACUCAUAAAAAAUGUAACAAUAUUGUUCCUUUGGGUUCCCCAAUCUUCUUGAAAGAAACUGAUAUUGAGAUGAUCUGAUUCUGGGGCUUUAUCUCCCUUGCAACACAUAAGAAUUUCAAGAAUUUUCUCUUCCAAAAAAAUUUUCUCAAGAAAUGAACAAUCCUGCUCAAUAAUUCUAUUGAAACUCCCAUCCAAUGAUGGUCUCCAUGGCUCAACUUCAGUUACAGCUCUUCACCACAAUACCAUCAAUCUUUAGCUCCUCAAUAUAAUUGCAUCUUCUAUUGUUGGUUUAUGCAGCGGUGGAAGAAUCUCAUACGUUUAUCUUCUACCUUGAUCCAUUUGUCUCGAUCUUUGCUUCCAAGUAACUUACCUCUUUAGAAGCAGGUUAGCUGUGAAGCUGGAAUUCUACCUUUUUAGAUGUUCGAUCUUGAAUACUUAAGCCUUGAGAAUCGAGAGAACAUGUUUAGUUAGUUAUUUUUUCCUUAAUCCUUUCUAACAACACUCUUUGAGGACCAAAUCAAGUUUAUAUAUGUAACAGCUGGAGCAAAAGUUAUUGUAGAAUCUAUCUUAUUGUUUUGCUUUAAUCUGUUUUAUCUCCAGUCCUUGUUCAAUUCCUCUCUAGGAACUUUCUAAAGUAGUUUGAUAUGGAGCUGGUGCUAGCAAAUAAAAGUUAGGUUUGAGCUUUUUAGGCUCUCAUUAUGCCCCAGCGAUUGGAGAAUAAAAAAAAAAAAUAGAAAGCAAAAAAAGCAGUAGCAGAAGAGGAAAAAAAAGAGAUAGGAGAAAACAAUAUUAUGGUGUAGGCCUGGGCCCCACAGAGGCGACAAAAUCUAAGCUGAUCUUCUUGAGCAUUUUUAAUUCAUUAGAUUUGAUUAGAUUAUCUAGGUUAGGACUUUCAAAUAAGAUAGAAUAUGAAUAAUUUGAUUUGAUGUCUGAACUAUCUAAAGAUCAUUAAAAUUAAAAAUUUGGUAUGCAUUGUGUUUUUUAUUAUUACAAGUGGACUACGAGUUUAUUAGUGUCUGUCAAAAGGAAAGCUUAUGAUAUGGGGACUACGAGUUUAUUAGUGUCUGUCAAAAGGAAAGCUUAUGAUAUGGCUUACUCAUAAUCAUGUAAAUUGAGGUCGUAGAUUAUUUUCACUCUAGCUGUCAAUGGACUCUUUUUGACGAGCCCUAAACAGUAAUUUCACACAUCUCAAGCCAUAACCUGAUCUGAAAUGCAUGGUUGUGAAAAUGUUGUACUUUUCUCAUGCUCCAAUUCUAAUUUCAAGCUUGAUGCUGUCUAAACAUUUAAUCAUUAUUUUACUAAAUUAUCGAGAUAUUUACCAGAGCCUAGUAAGUCAGACAGCAGAGCAACCCAUUUGGUGUCUUUUAAUGGGUGUUUGAUCAUGAAUAAAAGAACCAAAUUUUGAGCUCAUGAUUUAGAAAAUUUUGUUAGAAAAGUUCCGACUGGUGUAGAUUGCAGCAAUUAGAUCAUAUUAGACUUUUCAAUAUAGUAAGUAUAAAUAAAUAGAUAGAUAGAUAAAUAGAGAGACAAAGAGAGAGAGAAGGGAGAUUAAUAAAUUUCAUCAACUUUUUGGUUGAUGAAUUUUAUUUGAUAACAGAGAGAAUAAGAUUUUGGUAAUGGCCCUCUUUAAACAAAAUAACAAAAAAAUUUAUUUAUGAAGUAACAUAUUUAGGUAUCUGAUUCUCUCUAGUCCUGAUGGCAAAACUCAAGGCUCCCCCAGCUUUAUUAAUUGUGUUCUUCUUCCCUUUAUCCAUCUCAGUUGAUGCUAGCAAAGACAAAAAGACGAAGAACAAUGUUAAUCAAUGUCCAAUUUUUUGAAAGCAUAUAUGCGUGUAAGUACGUGACGAAGAAUGUGUAGAGGUGUAUGACUAAUUAGUUAGACUUACUUUUGACAGUUGGUGUUCUUUGAGAUAGGAAUAUUCAUUUGAACGCCGCACUUGGCAGGGAGAGAAGAGGCUGCAUCUUCCUUGAUAUUGGGAUAGCGAGCAGCAGCUUCCUUAACGCAGUUGCAUGCGGCUUGGCGGUCAGUGGUGGUAGGGGUGAUGGCCUUGAGGUUCUUGACACCAUCACAGCAUGAUGCUGCCGGUGUGCCACCUGCUGUGAGAUAGGGAAUGCAUGCAGCCAGUGAUGCAUUGACUUGGGCACAAGUCACAGCCGCUUCUCCUGGCUUAACCAAAAGCUGAGCCAUCACUAUCAUCAGCAACAUUGAUACAACAGCACCCUUCAUUUUGCUGGCAAUAUACUGUGAACUAUGAACCCCGGAUCACUGUUAACUGCCUCUUUUUUUUGUAUGCGUGGGUUUUGAAGUGAAAUUGCUGGAUAUAUAUAGCAUUUUUGAGUAUAAGAAAGUAAGUGCUUGUAGGUCAUGCCAUGACAAUGGCAGUUACUGUGCUUUGUCAUCUUGUUUGUCUUGCAACAUCUUUUGGUUACUUAAAAUAGGAAAUGGGGAUAACCUAAUGAUAUUUACAUUAUCUCAUGCACUUUCUGUUAGGUCUAUCUUGCUUGGCCAAUCACUUACCAGCAUGGCUGAUAGCUUGGGCCAAGCACCAUGGCUGAUCUUAUUUUAUUUUUUCCAGCAACUUGGUGCACAGUAUAAGAUAAUUGGAUUUGCAAGAAAAAAGAUAACUAUGUUUUAGAUAUUGGAGAGUAAAUUAUUAAGGUUUCAUCUGAGUGUAACAGAGAUUAUAUAUAUGCAUAUAUAUGGAGAGAAAGACAGAGUGCAUGUGUCUGCGUGUAUAUACGUGCAUGUAUGUAUCUCUUUUUUUUUUUUAAUUCUAACAGUGAAUGUAGAUAAGCCUAAUAAUAUAAUCGUCAGUGACUUUUUUUGUUGAGUACUUAGUGUGUAAAGCCGAUUAGGGUGAUUGAUCGUAAAAAAAACAUAAUAACCAUAAAGGAAGGUUAAUAAAGUUUGGAUAGCUCUGUUUCAACAGAACUCGUGAGUCAGCUCUAGAAGAAGAGGCGAGAUUUACACUUAGGACACCUGAUUUUAAUGCUACCUGGACAUCACAAUCCCCUGGAUUUUUUAAUGUAUUGUCCAGAAUCAUCUAGGCCACACUUGGAUAUAAUUCCCUUCCUCCACAGACUCAUUCUCUCUCUCAUGAACUUCUAGAGCCAUUUACUUCUUUUCUUUUACUCUUUUUUUUGGAUAAAAGAAGAAACUUCAUUAAAAUAUGGAGGAAAGGAAGUGAUUACAGAAAUGGAAGAAUAAGACAUUCUCUAGGAAAGGAAACAAAAAUGAAAAUAAAGAUAGCAUAGAUAUGAACUCCAGCUACAGCCUUAUUUUCUAGAUAAGAUGCCAUCCAAAUAGCGUGGAGCUCCAAAAUAGUACUCUCUGGGAAAUAACUAUGUGCUUUGGCCCAAAGAGAGGCCAUCAAAGGAAGCCUCUCAGUAAGCUCAUAGUAGGACAGUAACCGAUCGUUGAAGAUCCACUUAUUCCUUCCUAACCAAAUACAGCAAAGUCCAGCAAAAAUAGCACCUUGCCAUGGAGGUUUAGCCUCUUUCUUACUCCAACACCGUAAAUACAGGAUUUCACAAAAUUAUCCAGAAUAGGGGUUACCACCCAGCUGAGGCCAAAUUUCCUCAUAAUAUCACAACACAUUCACCAAGCCAUAGAGCAGUGUAGGAAUAAGUGAGAGUGGGUCUCACCUUUUUCUAAGGUAUGUCACACGUGUGAAUAGAUAAGGCACAGUGAGGGCGACGGUUUUGAAGCAAGUCCAUUAGAGUACCUUCGCCUUUGAAGGAACUCUAGCUUUCCAAAACAUCUUGGUUAUCUGAAAUUGUGUGGCAUUGAGGUUAUUUAUGGGGUAAUAGUAAAAAGACCUACAUGUAAAUAGGUAAGAAGAUUCAAGGGUCUAUAAUCAGGUAUCUGGUUGUGAGUUCAUAUUUACGGGUUCAAGUAUGUUCAAUAAUAUGGACAAGUCAGCAGUCUCCCUAUUAGAUAGGUCCAUAAUUGCAUGCCUGGUUGCAAGUUCAUAUUUAUAGGUUCUAGCAUGUUCAAUAAUGUGGACAAGUUAAGAGUCUCCCUAUCAGAUAGAUUAUGAUUAAAGCAAAAGUUCCAUGAUAGGCUACCCCCAAUAUGAAUAGUGAGACCAGAGAAAUAGGCAUUAUGUCUGGUAGAUAACUUUUUUUUUUGAGAUAAAAGUAUAGAAAAUAUAUUGAUGUGAAGGCACCGACGAAGCACCGACCAUGUACAAAAGAGUUACAAGUCAAUAAGUAUAUUUACAAUUGACCCUAAAUCGUCAAAAUGGUUAAUGUUAUGUUCCAGUACAGUGGAACCAAAAAAAUGGAGCCAUUUGUUCAAGAUAUUUCCAAAAAUUUCUUCCUUGCCAUCAAAGGCUCUAUUGUUUCUUUCGUUUCAAAUUACCCAGAAAAUAGUAGAUGGUAUAAGUUUUGAGCUUCUUGUUCUUCUUACAGACAGCUUCCCAGGCGAGCCGUUCAUCUUUUACAGAACUAGCCAUUACCCAACAAAUGCCAAGAAGACCAUAGACCGUAGUCCAUAACAUAUCAGUUAUGGGACACCACAGCAGAAGGUGGUUGCUGGUUUCGGAGUUAUGCUUGCAGAGGAAACAUCUGUUAGUUAGAGUAAUGCCUCUUUUCAUGAGGUUAUCAAUGGUUAGGAUGCGUUAUUUGGAUGCGUCCCAAGUGAAAAAAGAAAUUUUGGUUGGGGCUCGUCAUCCAAACCAUUUUAGCUGGAAAAUCCCCUCGUUUCAUACUGUUAUGGCCAGCAAGAUGAUUGUAAGGAUUUGACACUGAAGGAGCCGCUAUUUUUAGACGACCAAGACAGUUUGUCUUCAUUGUUGUUAAGCUGAAUGUUCUCCAAUAAAACUAGCAAAAGCUCAUAUUCUUCCACUUCCCAAUCUUGCAAAUUUCUUCUAAUCACCACACUCCAACCCAUACCAUUAUUUCUGUCUAAAGCUAACUAGGAUAGUCUCAGGAAUAACUAGUAUGGUCUCAGGAAUUUUGUGGCAAGUGGUUGGUCUCCGAACCAAAUAUUUUCCUAGAAGAGUGUUCUAGAGUCAUUUUUCACUUGUAGAAAUAUGUUAAACUCUAUCAAUGAUCUCAUACCCAAACUCUAUCUUCGAUCAGAUGUCUGGUAUAUAACUAGUAUAGUCUCAGGAUUUUUGUGGCAAACGGUUAGUCUCCUAAUCAAAUAUCUUCCUAGAAGAAUGUUCUAGAGUCAUUUUCCACUUGUAGAAAUAUGUUAAAACUCUAUCAAUGAUCUCAUACCCAAACUCUAUCUUCUAUCAGAUGUUUAACCACAUCCCAAGUCCACUAAGUGAUACUUCUGUUGCAUCAGCUCUAAUUCCUUUGUCAUACUAACUGAAAUAGUGGACAAGGAUAUGAAAUAAAUGGUAAAAUUGAUAAAAGUAAACUCAUUUUCCACCCAUGCUAGUCGAGACACAAAUUUACUUACCACCAGGACUUGAUGAGAAGUUUCUUUGAAUCUAACCCCAAGAGAAAGACCAAACUAUUUAACAAGAAGAUUCCCCAGAUUGUUGUCCUCUCUGUUUACACCUACCUCGACAAGCUCAGAUUUUGCUAAAUUUCUAUUAUAGAAUCUAUCUUAUUGUUUUACUUUAAUUUGUUUUAUCUCAAGUUCCUUUUCAAUUCCUCUUUAGGAAUUUUGUAUAUUAGUUUGAUAUGGAGCUGGUGCUAGCAAAUAAAAGUCAGGUUUGAGCUUUUGAGGCUCUUGUUAUGCCCCAGUGAUCGGAGAAGAAAAAGAAAGAGAAAGCAAAAAAAGCAGUAGCAGAAGAGAAAAGAAAAGAGAUAGGAGAAAACAAUAUUAUGGUGUAGGUCUGGGCCCCAUAGAGGAGGCAAAAUCCAAGCUCAUCUCCUUCAGCAUCUUUAACUAAUUAGAUUUAAUUGGGUUAUAUAGGUUAGGAGUUUCAAAUAAGAUAGAAUAUGAAUAAUUUAAUUUGAUGUCUGGAUCAUCUAAAGAUCAUUAAAAUUAAAAAUUUGAUAUGCAUUGUAUUUCUUAUUAUUAAUAGUGGACUACGAGUUUAUUAGUGUCUGUCAAAGGGAAAGCUUAUGAUAUGGCUUACUCAAGCUUAUGAUAUGGCUUACUCAUAAUCAUGUAAAUGAGGUUGUAGACUACUUUUAACUCUAGCUGUCAAUGGAUUCUUUCUGACGAGCACUAAACAGUAAUCUCAAGCCAUAACCUGAUCCAAAUGCAUGGUUGUGAAAAUGUUGCACUUUUCGCAUGCUCAGAUUCUAAAUUCAAGCUUGAUGCUCUCUGAACAUUUAAUCAUUAUUUUACUAAAUCAUCAAGAUUUUUGCCCAAGCCUAGUAAUUCAGACAGCAAAGCACCCCUUUUUGGUGUCUUUUAUGGGUGUUUGUCCCUGUUAUGAAUAAAAGGACCAAAUUUUGAGCUCAUGAUUUAGAAAAUUUUGUUAGAAAAAUUCCUACCGGUGUAGAUUGCAGCAAUAUGAUCAUAUUAGAUAUUUCAGUGUAUUAUGUACAUAUAAAGCUGUAGAUAGAUAGAUAAAUAGAGAGGGAAAGAGAGAGAAGCAGGGAGAUUAAUAAAUUUCAUCAACUUUUUGGUUGAUGAAUUGUAUUUGAUGACAGAGAGAAUAAGAUUUUGGUGAUAGGCCGCUUUAACCAACAUGACAGCAAAAUUUCUAAUUAUGAAGUAACAUGUGUAGGUAUCGGAUUCUCUCUAGUCCUGAUGGCACAACUCAAGGCUCCCCCAGCUUUAUUAAUUAUGUCUUCUUGCCUUUAUCCAUCUCAAUUGAUGCUAUCAAACACAAAAACACAAAGAAAAAUGUCAAUCAAUGUCCAAUUUUUUGAAAGCAUAUGUACAUGAGCAAGAAUGCGUAGAGGUGUAUGACUAAUUAGUUAAACUUACUUUUGACAGUUGGUGUUCUUUGAGAUAGGAAUAUUCAUUUGAAUGCCGCACUUGUUAGGGAGAGAAGAGGCUGCGUCUUCCUUAAUAUUGGGAUAGCGAGCAGCAGCUUUCUUAACGCAGUUGCAGGCGGCUUGGCGGUCAGCAGUGGUAGGGGUGAUGGCCUUGAGAUUCUUGACACCAUCACAGCAUGAUGCUGCAGGCGUGCCACCUGCUGUGAGAUAGGGAAUGCAUGCAGCCAGUGAUGCAUCGACUUGGGAACAAGUCACAGCCGCCUCUCCUGGCUUAGCCAAAAGCUGAGCCAUCACUAUCAUCAGCAACACUGAUACAACAGCACCCUUCAUUUCUGCUGGUAGUAUACUGUGAACUAGGAACCGCUAAUCGCUAUUAACUACCUCUUCUUUUUUGUGUGUGUGUUUUGAAGUGAAAUUGCAGGAUAUAUAUCUAUAUAGCAUGUUAGAGUACAAGAAAGCAAGUGAUUGUAGGUCAUGCCAUGACAAUGGCAGUUUCUGUGUUUUGUCAUCUUGUUUACCUUGCAAUAUCUUUUGGUUACUUAAAAUAGUAAAUGGUGAUAACAUAAUCACAUUUAUCUUAUCUUAUGCACUUUCUGUUUGGUCUAUCUUGCUUGGCCAAAGGCUUACCAGUACGGCUGAUUGCUUGUGCCAAGGCUUACCACCAUGGCUGAUCUUAAUUUAUCUCUUCCAGCAACUUGGAGCACAGUAUAAGAUAAUUAAAUUUGCAAGAAAAAGAUAAUUAUGGUUUAAAUAUUGGAGAGUAAAUUAUUAAGGUUUCAUCUGAGUGGAACAGAGAUUAUAUAUAUAUAGAGAGAAAGACAAAGUGUGUGUGUGUGUGUGUAGACGUGCAUGUAUAUAUCUUUGUAUUUUAUUCUAACAAUGACUGUAGAUAAGGCCAAUAAUAUAAUCUUCAGUAACUUUUUUUAUUGAGUACUUAGUGUGUAAAACAGAAUAGGGUGAUCGAUUAUAUCAAAAACAUAAUAACGAUAAAGGAAGGUUAAUUAAAUUUGUAUAGCAGAGUUUCAUCAGAACUGAUGAGUCAGCUCUAAAGAAGAGGUGAGAUUUACACUUAGGACCUCUGGUUUUAAUACUACCUAGAAUAAUGGUAUUGGAUUUUUUCUUAUUAGUUUAAUAUUUCAAAAUAAUCAAUCAUCUAUGAAAUUGUUGUAUAACUUACAUUGGAACUUUUGAUACAACUGAGUCAAUUAUACAUAUAUAUUUUAAAAUUAUAUGAUGGUUUCGUAAACUAAAAAAAUAAAUAUUUUUUACUUAUUUACAUAUUAUAUUUCAAUGCCUAUUUUCAGUUCUUACACUGUCAGAUUUUCUUUUUACCAAACCUCUCGCUUUUUUCUGUUUCACAAAAUGUAUCUCACUGUUUCUUAAAGAAGACAACUCCGUUCUUAGUUCCCCUCCCCCUUCUAUUAGAACAGAGAAUUGCCGCACUUCAUAAUUACACCAAGGAACAUCAGUGGAGUUAUUGAACUAAAUAAUGCUGCAUAAAAAAAGACCUAAUUUUAGUCCCCAACAAUAUUCCUCAUUGAGCUUAUUCUUAGUAUGUUAUAGAAGAUGCAUGCAGGUAAUAGAUGUGAAUUUUCUGGUGCAACUAUGAUUUCCCUUGCUUAUUUGAAUUCAACUUGUAGAUGGAACAGGGUACAUGCUAAAUUCUUUUUAUUAAAGAACCAAUAGAAGCCCAUUUUUUAUAAUUCUUUAAAGUAAUCUAACAACCGAGAUUCUUUCUUGGAUCAACACCAUGUUAAACUUAUUUCGCAUUAAUUGAUGUCUAAGUUUUUUUAAGUAAUUUGCAUGUGUGACUGUUGAAUCAACAGUUUACAAUGGAAAAAUAAGCAGAAGAGUUAAGAGUUUGCAUUUUAAUGUUUUACUUUUGGAACAACUUUAUCUGGUUAUAUUUAUUUAUUUUUCUCAUUAGUUGAUUCCAAUUUGUUUGAUGCAUAAAAUUAUCACCACAACUGAAUAAUGAAAAAGAAUCAGAACUCUGAAGAGAGGAAAAAAAUAGCUUCAUUGUGAUGGACUUAUGCAAUUUCCUUAAUGGAUGUUCUUUCUUUUCUGAUGUUUCAACUGUAAAGGUCCUGUUGUGAUAUUUUUUAUGGGGCUCUUUUAGGGCUAUGAUAUUCUUGUUGGGGCUUUUUUAGGGCUUUUAAGACAAUGUUUAUAAUGAUUACACUAUAAGAAAAAUAAGCUUCUUUUGUGUUGAUAACUGAAUCUAUAGUAUCUAACAGUCAAACAGACAACUAUCUAUCUCAUACAUGGUGCAUAUUGAUUUACUGGGUAACUUGUUUUUUCGUAGUCCUUUGUAACUUAUACAAAGUGAUCAAUACCUUAUUAACUUUACAUACAAACAACUAGAUUUACUGAUAUUCUGUGUUUAUUGGGCAUGUAUGCAAUGUGGAACUUGUUUAUUUAUUAAUUUUUUCUUUAUCCUAUCCGACUUAACUCUGUUAGGACCUAAUCGACUUUAUAUGUGAACAACCCAGUUAGAAGUAGCUGUUAUUACAUAAUGAACUUAUAGGUUGGUCCUUUCCUCCAGGUGUAGUGUUGCAGCAAAUGUGAUCUUAUAUUAAAUCUGUUACAGAGAGAAAGUGUAUGCCUUGACAGAGAAACAUUGAUAAAUUUCAUCAAUUUUAUUUCUAUAAGAUAAGGUAGAUAAUAUGAUUUUGGUAAUGGCUGGCUUCUUAACCAACUUAAGAAAAAAAAAAAAGUUUAUUUAUGAAGUGACAUAUUUAGUCUCAAAUUUUCCUUAGUCCUGAUACAACAAAAAAGAUGGCAAAACCCAGAGAUGUCCCAGCUUUAUUCUUGUUGCCUCUGUUCAUCCUCAGUUGAUGCUGGAAAAUCAUAAAAGAAACAAUGUCAACCACUCUCCAAUAUUUUACAAACACAUAUAUGUAUAUAUAUAUAUAUACACACACAUGUAUGUACGAAUGUUUGUGUAUAUAUACACAUAUGGGUGCGUGUAUGCAUGUGCGGAUGUAAGUGGCUAGCAGAAUCACUUCUGACAGUUGGUGUCCUUGGAGAUAGGAAUAUUCAUUUGCACCCCACACUUGGUAGGCUGCAUCUUCCUUGAUAUGAUAGCGAGCAGCAGCCUCCUUAAUACAUUUGCAAGCGGCUCGGCGAUCAGUGGUGGUAGGGGUCAUGUCUUUGAGAUCCUUCACACCGACACAGCAUGCUACUGUGGGCGAACCACCAGACAUGAGGUAGGGAAUGCAUGCAGCCAGUGAGGCAUCAACUUGGCUGCAAGUCACAGCUCCAUCUCCUGGCUUGACCAAAAGCUGAGCCAUUACCAUCACUACCAACAUUGACACCGCUGCUCCCUUUAUUUUUCUGGUACUAUACUUUGAACUGUGAACCACUAGUCACUAUUAGCUGCCUUUUUAAUUUUUUGUGUUUUGAAGUGCGAUGGCAGGGUGUAUAUAUAUGAGCAUAUCAGAGCUGAAGAAAGUUAGAAGUUGUGGGUGUGAAAUUGGCGAGAAGAUUGUAUUUUUUGUUGAUUAGGAAGGCAAAAAAUGCUCUUCCUUUUAUAGACAUAAUGCAACUUAGAGAGGGAAAAAAUUUCAGCUAUAGAACAAAUAUACACCCUGAUUUAUAGAAAGAAAGUUAGAUGCCCAUAAUUACAAAAUAUAUGGCCAUGUAUCCCUAAAAAUCAGGUAACAGAUUUUCUUGGAUUAAAAUUGCUGAUUCUCUAACACUCCCCCUCAAGCUUGCUGGAAGAUGUCAUUCAUGGCCAACUUACUCACCAAUCUAUCUAANNNNNNNNNNNNNNNNNNNNNNNNNNNNNNNNNNNNNNNNNNNNNNNNNNNNNNNNNNNNNNNNNNNNNNNNNNNNNNNNNNNNNNNNNNNNNNNNNNNNNNNNNNNNNNNNNNNNNNNNNNNNNNNNNNNNNNNNNNNNNNNNNNNNNNNNNNNNNNNNNNNNNNNNNNNNNNNNNNNNNNNNNNNNNNNNNNNNNNNNNNNNNNNNNNNNNNNNNNNNNNNNNNNNNNNNNNNNNNNNNNNNNNNNNNNNNNNNNNNNNNNNNNNNNNNNNNNNNNNNNNNNNNNNNNNNNNNNNNNNNNNNNNNNNNNNNNNNNNNNNNNNNNNNNNNNNNNNNNNNNNNNNNNNNNNNNNNNNNNNGAGCAAUGUCAAUUGAUUUCCUUCGUUUUGAAAGCAUGUAUAUGUGAGUGUACGGUGUAUGCAUGUUGGAUGUGUAUAUAUGAUUAGUUACUUACUUUUGACAGUUGGUGUUCUUUGAGAUAGGAAUAUUCAUUUGAACUCCACACUUAGUAGGGAGAGAAGAGGCUGCAUCUUCCUUUAUAUUGGGAUAGCGAGCAGCAGCUUCCUUAACGCAGUAGCAGGCGGCUUGGCGGUCAGUGGUGGUAGGGGUGAUGGCCUUGAGAUUCUUGACACCAUCACAGCAUGCUGCUGCAGGCGUACCACCUGAUGUGAGAUAGGGAAUGCAUGCAGCCAAUGACGCAUCAACUUGUCCACAUGUCACAGCAGCCUGCCCUGGCUUCACCACCAGCUGAGCCAUCACUAUCAUAACCAGCAUCGAGAUCAUUGCGCCCUUCAUUUUUUCUGGUACUUUACUUUGAACUGUGGACCACUGAUCACUACUAGCUGGCUCUUUUAGUUUGGUUGUGUUUUGAAGCGAAGUGGCUGGGUCUAUAUAUAUAAGCAUGUCGAAGUGUAGAAAGUUAGAAGUUGUGGGUCAUGCCAUAACAAUGGCAGUUACUCAGUUUCAUCAACUUGUUCACCUUGCAAUAUCUCUUGGUUACCUAAAAUAGCCUAAAAUAAAAAAUAAGGAUAAGCUUCUGAAUCAUAUUUGCUUUCUCUUUAUGCUCUUUCUGUUAAAUCUUAUCUGACUUGGGGAAAGGCUUAAACCACCAUAAUUGGUUGAAUUGCAAUAUUUUUCCCCCCAUGUUAUAUGCCGUGCAAGGAACUGGUGGUAUAUUACGAGGUGUUCCCUUGUUAUAUCCUCUAGUUAGACAGCGAGAUGGAUCAAUCUAACAUAUGUAUAUAUAUAUAUGGCGAAUGUUUGCAUGUAAUAUCUUUGUUUUGGAGUUUAAAAAUUGCUCUAGAUAGGCCGGAUUUACCAGUCAAGAAAUACACUAUUCAUCUCAUCGUUGGUGUAUAUUAAUUUGUUGGGCAACUUGUUAUUGCCUAACCUUGUGCAACUACACUUCUGACAUUCUGCAUUUAUGUCUUAGAUGUGCAAUCUUGAAUAUAUAAGCCUUGAGAGAACUUGUUUAUUUAGUUAUUCUUUACUUAAUCCCUUCUGGUUUAGAUGCAUAACAACUGGAGUAAGGAGUUGUUAUUAUAUCGUAUUAAGAAGUAUAAAUUAGGGUUUCAUUGGAGUAAAUGGUAUAUUAGUAAUACUUCUCACACUUUUUUAUCUAAAAAAAUGGUGUAUUAGUAACAUAAUUCAGAUCUUUGUAACUUUUGUAAUUAAUACUGUUUCUUUUUGUUGUUACUAUUCACUCGCAUAUAUAGAGUUCAAAAUUCGAUGAAAUAUACAAGUCAUUUUUCUACAUAAUAUCAAAACUCUAGGUUAAAAGAACCCUAAACUUUUUCAUCAACCAUGUUCAGCCUUCAUUGUAGAAAAAAAAAAAACCCGAAAAGGUAGCCGGCCACCUCAGACCAGCUGCUGGCCAUUAUAGGAGCCAGUGAGCAACGGUAGCCAAACCGGCCUUCACCACCAGACAUCAACCACAAAUGGAGCUGCAAGGUGCAGCUCCUUCUCCUGCCGUAGUAUUUAUCUUUAUUAAACUGGGAGUCUAUUAGCGUCCAUCAGAAAGGAAAGCUUGUUGUAUGGCAUACCUAUAAAUUUACAGUUCAUAUGAAUAAAAUUAAUAACAGUAAUUAAUUGGAAGCAGACAGUAGAGCAUCUUGAAUUUCGAGAUCGGUGGAUUUUCUUUAAUGAUCCCCAAAUUCCUAGUUCCAAAAAUCUCAACCCAUAAUCCGAUCCAAAUGCACAUCCAUAACAAUGCUGCAUUUUUGGCAUGCUCAGAUUUGGAUUGAAGAAAAGAAAGUUCAAAUUAAACUUUUUAAAGCUUGAUGCUCUCUGAAAAUUUAAUCAUUCAUUUACUAAAUUAUGGAGAUUUUGGCCAGAGCCAGGUAACUCAGACAGCAGGGUGCACCCUUGUGGAAUCUUUUAAUGUGGGUUCAAUCAUAUUGUUAUGAAUAAAAGAAACAUAAUUUUUGAGGUCAUUCUUAAAAAAACUUAUUUGGUAUCAUGUAUGAAAAUUCAUCCUGGUGUAGAUUAUAGCAAUAUGAUUAUACCAGAUCUUCUAGUGUAGUAUUUCUAUAUAAAUAUAUAGACAUAUAUAUUUAAAUGGAUAAAUAGGUAGAUAGAGAAAGAGAAAGAGAGAGAGAGAGAGAAAGUGAGAGAGAGAGAUAUCAAUAAAUUUCAUCUAACUUUUGGUUGAUAAAAUUUAUUUGAUAAGAGAGACAAAAAGAUUUCCGUAAUGACAUGACAACAAAAUUUGUUUAUUUAUGAAGAUAUCUGGUUCUAUUUUGUUGUUAUGGCAAAGCUCAAAGCGCUCCCAGCUUUAUUAAUUAUGUUCUUCUUGCCUUUAUCCAUCUCAGUUGAUGCUAGCAAACACAAAAAGACAGAGAAAAAUGUCAAUCAAUAUCCAAAGGUCUUGAAAGCAUAUAUAUUUGUGUGUACGUGUGAAUGCAUGUGUUGAGGUGUAUGAAUAAUUAGUUAGACUUACUUUUGACAGUUGGUGUUCUUUGAGAUAGGAAUAUUCAUUUGAACUCCACACUUGGUAGGGAGAGAAGACGCUGCAUCUUCUUUGAUAUUGGGAUGGCGCGCAGCAGCCUCCUUAACGCAGUUGCAAGCCGUUUGGCGGUCAGCGGUGGUAGGGGUGAUGGCCUUGAGAUUCUUGACACCAUCACAGCAUGCUGUGGCAGGCGUGCCACCUGCUGUGAGAUACGGAAUGCAUGCAGCCAGUGAUGCAUCGACUUGGGUACAAGUCACAGCCGCCUCUCCUGGCUUAACUAAAAGCUGAGCCAUCACUGUCAUUAGCAACAUUGAUACAACAGCACCCUUCAUUUUUGCUGGUACUAUACUUUGAACUGCGACCCACUAAUCGCUUCUAGCUGCUUGUUUUAGUUUUGGUAUGCUUUGAAGUGAAAUUGGAGGAUGUAUAUAUAGGCAUUUGAAGUUGAAGAAUGUUACAAGUUGUGGGUCAUGCCACAGCAAUAGCUGUUAGUGUAUUUUGUCAUCUGCUUUAUCUGUUGGUUUCCCAAAAUAGUAAAUAGGGAUGGGCUUCUGAAUCAUGUUUGCACUUUCUGUUGGGUCAUGUCUGGCUUGGUGAAAGGAGUAUCACCAUAGCUGGUUGUAAUAAAAUUUCCAGCAUCUUGGAUCAUAAUAUAAGGUAAUUGAAAGUGAUAAUCAUGUUUUAGAUAUUAGUAAGUAAAUUAGUAAGCGUUCAUCUCUCAUUCAUACAUGAGAAUGUGUGUGUAAUUUAUGCUUGUAUAUCUCUUUUUUUCUGAACGAUUCAAUUGCGUUUUUUGUCCUUCUAUUUCUUCUUUUCCCUUCUUAUUAUAUGUUAUGGCAACUCUGAGAAGGAAUAUCAGUGACUUAAGGUAAGGAUUUAGUAAUCACUCUAGAUAAGCAUAAUAUAUAGUAGUCAGUAACAUCUCUUGAUGACUACAUGCUUAGUGAGACAAAUAGUUGAGCUGGCUGAUCAAUUAUAUCUCAAAGUUAAUAAUGACAAAGGAAGAUUAAACCUUUUUGUGCGCCUAAAGAUCCAACAACGAGCAAUUCAGCAAAAGAAAUGAUGAGUCAAGUAUAAAAGAAGAGGCAAGAUUGUUGAAGUUUAUACUUAGGAAUUCUGUUUGAAACUGUGUGGAACGAUGAUAUUAGAUCUUUCCUAAUAGUUUGAAAAUUUAAAUUAAUUACACCUAAUUAAAUUAUUGAGAAAGUUAUGUAAAGGUUUUUGGUGUUUUGAUGUAACUAUAACUGGGUCCAGUAUUUCUCAAAAUAACAAUUUAAAGUGAGCUGAAAUUAAUAAAUAUAUUUUCCUUUGCAGGAACUGAAUUGUUACUUUUAGAAAAUAAACUGGUUGUGAUUAUUAAAACUUAAAAAUCUCCAUCUGAUUUAGUUUCGGUUAUUUCACAUUGUAUGUAUAGAUUUGCAUUAAUACUGGAGUAUUAUUAUAUAGCUUGGCCUUAUAUAAAAAUCUCAGAUGCAACCUAUUGUUUUCGCCCCCAUUGUUGUUGUUCUUCUUAGAUAAAACAAAAAAUGUAUUGAAAAGAGAGAAUGAACUUUGUUUACUUUGGAUUCAACUCACACUUGCUCGUUUAUCUCUACUAUUUAUGUAGGAUUAGGGAGAGACCAGCAACUUGUAUUUGUAUUAUGAAGAAGUCAACCUAACAACUGAGAUUGGUUCCAAUAUGAAUACCAAAUUGGUUGCAGUAUUCCUUGUAGGAAUGAAUCCGAGCAUGAACAGCUCCAGGGUUUUCGCCAUUGCAAUCUUUGCCAUUGGUGGCCCAGAUAGUUGCUUAGAAGCCUUGCCUCAUGACAGAUCGAACGUUUGAUAUCUAGAACCACAAGGCUGUCUUGAAAGACACGAGGGGAUCCUUGCCCACGGUUUCUUCGUAAUUAAUGUUAUUUCUUUUUUUGUUACAAUUCGCACACACAUAUAUAUAUAUAUAGGGUUCUAAUAUUCAAUGAAGUAUACAACAAUUUAUUCUUCUACAGAUAAUGCACUUGAGAUUGUUGCUUUAAUUAUCUCCAGUUUUUGUUCAAUUCAUCUGUAGGAGCUUUCAGUAACUAAUGUGAUAUGGAGCUGGGCACUAGCAUCUAAAAGUUAGGUUCCCUUUGACGUUAUUGUUAUUCCUAAUAAUUGAUAAAGACUGAAGAAAAAGCCACACAAAAAAAAAAGGGUUGCAGCAGAAGAGAUAAGAUGAGGCAAAAAGACAAUGUUAUGGUUUAGGUGCAGAACUGACUGGAGAGAGGAAAUCUGGUUAAAUGUUUUAAUUAAUUAGGGCAAAGAUUAGGUAGAAUAUGAAUUAUUUUAUGUUAUUUCCGAAUCAAGAUAGAUUAAACAUACUUAAAAUUAAAAAUUUUGUAUAUAAUAUUUGUCUUUAUUAGACUGGGAGUUUAUAAGCAUCCAUUAGAGAGGAAACCUUAUUUUAUGGCUUACCUAUAAGUUUACAGUCAAUAUAAAUAAAAUUAAUAAGACAGUAAUUAAUUAAGAACAGAUAUUAGAGAAUUUUAACUUUAGAGAUCGGUGGAUUUUCUUUAAUGAUCCUCAAAAUCUAGUUCCAAAUAUCUCAACCCAUUAUCUGAUCCAAACGCACAUCCAUAACCAUGCUGCAUCUUUGGCAUGCUCAGAAUUAGUUUGAAGAAAAGGAAGUCCAAAUUAGACUUACUUAAAGCUUGAUGCUCUCUGAAAAUUUAGUCAUUAAUUUACUGAAUUAUGGAGAUUUUGGCCCGAGCAGGGUACACCCUGGUGGAAUCUUUUAAUGUGGGUUCAAUCAUAUCAUUAUGAUUAUGAAUAGAAGAAACAAAACUUCUGAGCUCAUUCUUAGAAAAUAUUGUUUGAUAUUAUGUAUGGAAAUUCAUCCUGGUGUAGAUUAUAGCAGUGUGAUCAUACUAAAUCUUCUAGUGUAGUAUAUUUAUAUAAAUAUAUAGACAUAUAUAGAUAAGUAGAUAUAUAGAUAGAUAGAUAGAGGGAGAGAGAGAGAGAGAGAGAGAAUGUUGGUAUUUUGUACGAAAAUUCAUCCUGGUGUAGAUUAUAGCAAUGUAAUCACACUAGAUCUUCUAGUGUAGUAUGUUUAUAAAUAUAUAGACAUAUAUAGAUAAGUAGAUAUAUAGAUUAGAUAUAUAUAUAUAUAUAUAGAGAGAGAGAGAGAGAGAAAGAGAGAGAGAGAAAUAUCAAUAAAUUUCAUCUAACAUUUGGUUGAUAAAAUUUAUAUAAUAAGAGAGACAAAAAGAUUUCGGUAAUGGCCCUCUUUAACCAACAUGACAACAAAAUUUGUUUAUUUAUGCAGAUUCUGGUUCUAUUUUGUCGUUACGGCAAAGCUCAAAGGGCGCCCAGCUUUAUUAAUUAUGUUCUUCUUGCCUUUAUCCAUCUCAGUUGAUGCUAACAAACACAAAGAGGCAAAGAACAAUGUCAAUCAAUGUCCAAAGGUGUUGAAAGCAUGUAUAUUUCUGUGUACAUGUGAAUGCAUGUGUGGAGGUGUAUGAAUAAUUAGUUAGACUUACUUUUGACAGUUGGUGUUCUUUGAGAUAGGGAUAUUCAUUUGAACUCCACACUUGGUAGGGAGAGAAGAUGCUGCAUCUUCUUUGAUAUUGGGAUGGCGCGCAGCAGCCUCCUUAACGCAGUUGCAAGCCGCUUGGCGGUCAGCGGUGGUAGGGGUGAUGGCCUUGAGAUUCUUGACACCAUCACAGCAUGCUGUGGCAGGCGUGCCACCUGCUGUGAGAUACGGAAUGCAUGCAGCCAGUGAUGCAUUGACUUGGGCACAAGUCACAGCCGCCUCUCCUGGCUUAACUAAAAGCUGAGCCAUCACUGUCAUUAGCAACAUUGAUACAACAGCACCCUUCAUUUUUGCUGGUACUACACUUUGAACUGCGACCCACUAAUCGCUUCUAGCUGCUUGUUUUAGUUUUGGUAUGCUUUGAAGUGAAAUUGGAGGAUGUAUAUAUAGGCAUUUGGAGUUGAAGAAUGUUACAAGUUGUGGGUCAUGCCACAGCAAUAGCUGUUAGUGUAUUUUGUCAUCUGCUUUAUCUGUUGGUUUCCCAAAAUAGUAAAUAGGGAUAGGCUUCUGAAUCAUGUUUGCACUUUCUGUUGGGUCUUAUCCGGCUUAGCCAACGGUAUAUUGCCAUAGCUGGCUGUAAUAAAAUUUCCAGCAUCUUGGAUCACAAUUUGAAUUAAUUGAAAAUGAUAAUCAUGUUUUAGAUAUUAGUAAGUAAAUUAGUAAAGGUUCAUCUCUCAUUCAUACAUGGGAAUGUCUGCAUAUAAUGUAUGCUUCUUCUUUCCCCUUUUUAUUGUAUGUAAUGGAAACUCCGGGAAGGAAUAUCAUUGAAUUAAUGUAAGGAUUUAGUAAUCACUCUAGAUAAGCAUAAUAUAUAGGUUUCAGUGACAUCUCUUAAUGACUACAUGCUUAGUGGGUCAAAUAGUUGAGGUGGCUGAUCAAUUAAAUCUAAAGCUUAAUAAUGACAAAGGAAGAUUAAAAUUUUUGAGCGCUCAAAGAUCCAACAACGAGCAACUCGGCAAAAGAAAUGAUGAGUCUAAGCACAAAAGAAAAGGCGAGAUUGUUGAAGUUUAUACUUAGGAAUUCUGUUCAAUACUGUGUGGAACAAUGGUAUUAGAGCUUUCCUAGUAGUCUGAAAUUUUAAGUUAAUUAGUCACCUAAUUAAAUUAUUGAGUAAUGUAUAUGAAGUUUUUUGGUGUUUAGAUCUAACUAUAACUGGGUUCAUUACUUCUCAAAAUAAUAAUUUAUAGUGAACUGUAAUUAACAAACAUGUUUUACUUUGCAGGAACUGAAUUGUUACUUGUAGAAAAUAAUAAACAGAUUAUGAUUAUUAGAACUUAAAAAUCCCCAUCUGAUUUAGCCUCACAUAUUUCACAUUGUAUGUAUAGUUUUGCAUCAAUAUUGUAAUAUUAUUAUAUAGCAUGGCCUUGUUUACUUUUGAUUCAACUCAUACAUAACAUAAAGCUGCACACUUGCUCACUUAUCUCUACUAGUUUUGUAGGGGUAGGGAGAGACCAGCAACUUGUAUUUGUAUUCUGAAGAAAUCAACCUAACAACUGAGGUUGGUUCCAAUAUGAAUGCCAAAUUGCUUGCAGUAUUCCUUGUAAGUACUGAAUCCGAGCCUGAACGGCUCCAGGGUUUCCGCCAUUGCAAUCUCU